UCCCUGUAGGACUAGUGGUUAGGCCAUGGCGCUCUCACUGUCGCAGCCCAGGUUCGAUUCCUGGCCAGGGAA
rnacentral:tRNA from 1 species